AUGAAGGGGGUGAUGUCCUGCAGGACCUAGCACAACAUUAUUUGCGUGCACUUCCUCUUCAGGCAGCAGACCGGAGCCGAGGAGAAGAGCAGGAGACCGGAGGGUAACACUCAGCUCUGCACAAAUGAGUUGUGAAUGUUGCUGCAACAAAUAUGACUUGGCACU